UAGGGAAUCUUCGGCAAUGGGGGAAACCCUGACCGAGCAACGCCGCGUGAGUGAAGAAGGUUUUCGGAUCGUAAAGCUCUGUUGUUAAGGAAGAACGAGUGUGAGAAUGGAAAGUUCAUACUGUGACGGUACUUAUCCAGAAAGGGACGGCUAACUACGUGCCAGCAGCCGCGGUAAUACGUAGGUCCCGAGCGUUGUCCGGAUUUAUUGGGCGUAAAGCGAGCGCAGGCGGUUAGAUAAGUCUGAAGUUAAAGGCAGUGGCUCAACCAUUGUAGGCUUUGGAAACUGUUUAACUUGAGUGCAGAAGGGGAGAGUGGAAUUCCAUGUGUAGCGGUGAAAUGCGUAGAUAUAUGGAGGAACACCGGUGGCGAAAGCGGCUCUCUGGUCUGUAACUGACGCUGAGGCUCGAAAGCGUGGGGAGCGAACAGG
rnacentral:rRNA from 1 species